AACGAACGCUGGCGGCAUGCCUAACACAUGCAAGUCGAACGAGAUCUUCGGGUCUAGUGGCGCACGGGUGCGUAACGCGUGGGAAUCUGCCCUUUGGUUCGGAAUAACAGUUGGAAACGACUGCUAAUACCGGAUGAUGACGAAAGUCCAAAGAUUUAUCGCCAGAGGAUGAGCCCGCGUAGGAUUAGCUAGUUGGUGUGGUAAAGGCGCCCCAAGGCGACGAUCCUUAGCUGGUCUGAGAGGAUGAUCAGCCACACUGGGACUGAGACACGGCCCAGACUCCUACGGGAGGCAGCAGUGGUGAAUAUUGGACAAUGGGCGAAAGCCUGAUCCAGCAAUGCCGCGUGAGUGAUGAAGGCCUUAGGGUUGUAAAGCUCUUUUACCCGGGAUGAUAAUGACAGUACCGGGAGAAUAAGCUCCGGCUAACUCCGUGCCAGCCGCCGCCGUAAGAC
rnacentral:rRNA from 1 species